rnacentral:rRNA from 1 species
GACGAACGCUGGCGGCGUGCUUAACACAUGCAAGUCGAACGGAAAGGCCCUGCUUUUGUGGGGUGCUCGAGUGGCGAACGGGUGAGUAACACGUGAGUAACCUGCCCUUGACUUUGGGAUAACUUCAGGAAACUGGGGCUAAUACCGGAUAGGAGCUCCUGCUGCAUGGUGGGGGUUGGAAAGUUUCGGCGGUUGGGGAUGGACUCGCGGCUUAUCAGCUUGUUGGUGGGGUAGUGGCUUACCAAGGCUUUGACGGGUAGCCGGCCUGAGAGGGUGACCGGACAAAUGGGGAGAGAGAAACGGCCCAGAUUCGAACGGGAGGAAGGGGGGGGGAAAAUUGAAAAAGGGGCGGAAGCCGGAGGCAGAAACGCCGGGGGGGGGAUAACGGCCUUGGGGUUGUAAACCGUUUUCGCCUGGAACGAAGGGGGGGGGAGGGAAAGGGGAAAAAAAACACGGGCAAAAAAGGU